rnacentral:rRNA from 1 species
GGUGAGUAACACGUAGGUGAUCUGUCCCUGGGUGGGGUAUAGCCCAUGGAAACAUGGGGUAAUACCGCAUGAGGUCCUGGCGGUGAGAACUCCGGGAUGAAAGGCGCAAUUGUGUUGCCUGGGGAUGAGCCUGCGGCUCAUUAGCUAGUUGGUGAGGUAAAGGCCCACCAAGGCGACGAUGGGUAGCCGGCCUGAGAGGGUGUACGGCCACACUGGGACUGAGACACGGCCCAGACUCCUACGGGAGGCAGCAGCUAAGAAUCUUCCGCAAUGGGGGAAACCCUGACGGAGCGACGCCGCGUGGACGAAGAAGGCCGCAAGGUUGUAAAGUCCUUUUGCAGGCGAAGAAUAAGGCGAAGAGUGGAAAGCUUGGUCGAUGACGUUAGCCUGCGAAUAAGCCCCGGCCAAUUACGUGCCAGCAGCCGCGGUAACACGUAUGGGGCAAGCGUUGUUCGGAAUUACUGGGCGUAAAGGGCGUGUAGGCGGUUUCGUAAGCCUGGCGUGAAAGUCAUCGGCCUAACCGAUGGACGGCGCUGGGAACUGCGGGACUGGAGCUUUGGAGGGGGAGCUGGAAUUCCAGGUGUAGGGGUGAAAUCUGUAGAGAUCUGGAAGAACACCGGAGGCGAAGGCGAGCUCAUGGCCAAUGACUGACGCUGAGGCGCGAAAGCGUGGGGAGCAAACAGGAUUAGAUACCCUGGUAGUCCACGCUGUAAACGAUGUGCACUAGGUGUUGGUGCCAUACGGGCAUCGGUGCUGUAGCUAAAGGCGAUUAUGUGCACCGCCUGGGGAGUAUGCUCGCAACGCGUG